UUAGAGUUUGAUCCUGGCUCAGAUUGAACGCUGGCGGCAGGCCUAACACAUGCAAGUCGAGCGGCAGCGGGAAAGUAGCUUGCUACUUUUGCCGGCGAGCGGCGGACGGGUGAGUAAUGCCUGGGGAUCUGCCCAGUCGAGGGGGAUAACUACUGGAAACGGUAGCUAAUACCGCAUACG
rnacentral:rRNA from 1 species